rnacentral:rRNA from 1 species
AUUCCAGCUCCAAUAGCGUAUAUUAAUUUUGUUGCGGUUAAAAAGCUCGUAGUUGGAUCUCGGUUUCGGGCGAGUGGUGUACCUUGCGGUAUUUACUGUUUGCCCGGACGAUUUUGUUGGUUCGUUUAUGGUUCUCUUAACCGAGUGCCAUAAGUGGCCAGCACGUUUACUUUGAAAAAAUUGGAGUGCUCAAAGCAGGCGCUACAGCCUGAACAUUAGUGCAUGGAAUAAUGGAAUAGGAUCUCGGUUCUAUUUCGUUGGCUUUCGGAGUCGAGGUAAUGAUUAAUAGGGACAGACGGGGGCAUUCGUACUGCGACGUUAGAGGUGAAAUUCUUGGAUCGUCGCAAGACGAACUACUGCGAAAGCAUUUGCCAAGAAUGUUUUCAUUAAUCAAGAACGAAAGUUAGAGGUUCGAAGGCGAUCAGAUACCGCCCUAGUUCUAACCAUAAACGAUGUCGACCGGCGAUCCGUUAUCGUUAACUGAAUGACUUAACGGGCAGCCUCCGGGAAACCAGAGUGUUUGGAUUCCGGGGGAAGUAUGGUUGCAAAGCUGAAACUUAAAGGAAUUGACGGAAGGGCACCACCAGGAGUGGAGCCUGCGGCUUAAUUUGACACAACACGGGAAAUCUCACCAGGCCCGGACACCGGAAGGAUUGACAGAUUGAGAGCUCUUUCUUGAUUCGGUGGGUGGUGGUGCAUGGCCGUUCUUAGUUGGUGGAGCGAUUUGUCUGGUUAAUUCCGAUAACGAACGAGACUCUGGCCUACUAACUAGACGUUAGAUCCCUUUGUGGGUCUAUCGCAGCUUCUUAGAGGGACGGGCGGCGUUUAGCCGCACGAGAUUGAGCAAUAACAUGUCUGUGAUGCCCUUAGAUGUUCUGGGCUGCACGCGCGCUACACUGAAGGAAUCAGCGUGUGUUCCCUACCCGAAAGGGUUGGGAAACCCGUUGAACCUCCUUCGUGAUGGGGAUUGGGGAUUGCAAUUAUUCCCCAUGAACGAGGAAUUCCCAGUAGGCGCGAGUCAUAAGCUUGCGUCGAUUACGUCCCUGCCCUUUGUACACACCGCCCGUCGCUACUACCGAUCGAGUGAUUUAGUGAGGCCUUCGGACUGGUCUUCAGUAUGGCUUUCGGGUCGUGUUGGAGUACCGGAAAGAUGACCAAACUUGAUCACUUAGAGGAAGUAAAAGUC